UACGUAGGUGGCAAGCGUUACUCGGAAUCACUGGGUGUAAAGCGCAGGUAGGCGGUUGGGUAAGUCUCUUGUGAAAGCUCCUGGCUCAACUGGGAGAGGUCAAGGGAAACUGCCUGGCUAGAGUGUGGUAGAGGAAACUGGAAUUCCCGGUGUAGCGGUGAAAUGCGUAGAUAUCGGGAGGAAUACCUAUGGCGAAAGCAGGUUUCUGGGCCAUCACUGACGCUGAGCUGCGAAAGCUAGGGGAGCAAACAGG
rnacentral:rRNA from 1 species